UCACCCUACUGACCUGUGAUAAAUGUGUC
rnacentral:piRNA from 1 species